UCCAACUUCUCCACUAGAGAGUUGUGGAUGCUUUGGAGCUAAGGACUGGAACUGACAUGAGAGACCUCUACCAACUGAGGGUUUCAUGAGCACACUCCUUUGUCAAGAUCUUGGUGAAUAGUCUUUGACUGUGCAAUCGUGUCUUAGAAAUUGUUUUACUUGUUAUCAUGAUCGUGCUUGGCUGGAUGCUUUUUGUUGGAUUUGCAUGUUACUUGGGCACAUUUCCAGAGUUCGUGCCUCCAACUCUGAAGUGGAAAGAGAGAUGGGUUGUUCAGGAGAGCAAGACACACCUGAGGAGCCAGACUUUGAAUGAAGAUCUGCAACUGUGAGUGACUGUGACGGUCUCUUGAGCUGGAUUCCUCCCUUUCAAGACAACUUGAUGGCACUCGGAAAUGUCAAUGGAAAGUUUACUUUCCUCUGGAAAAUAAAAUGAACUGUGAAAUGGGAAAGAAUUUGAGGAGCACUGCUGAGGACAGCAAGCCCUUGUUCAAAGAUUUGUUAAUAACUAUACCUCCUGGGUAUUCUUUUCAAUGACUGUUCCACCUAUUAUUUUUUCCAUGCAGACUCUAUAAUAAAUUAGACCAGCAUUUUU